rnacentral:lncRNA from 1 species
UGUUGAUUUUGGCUUAAUCCCAAGUCCCACAUUGGUGGGUUCAUUGUUUGGGAAGGAGGUUUGAGGGUUAUAAAUUAAACUCUCCUCCUUCACUGUUAUAUAUCUCAAUUUGUAAUAUCUUCUCCCAUAAUAAUAAAAGCGGGCUGUUUUUGCUGUGCUCAGAGAUUAGGCUAAACAGGCCAAACUCCGUUAACAAUUUUUGGGUGUGUUUUUUCCUCUUUAUCUCUUUUAUUAUUCCGCUUUAUUUAUUCAAUAUUAUUUGUCGGGUAGCUCUGUUAGGGUUCUGUUUUAGUGGGAAAAUUACCCGUUUUUUCCAACAAGUGGUAUCAAAAGCCGAAGGUUCGCCUUGGGUUGUUUGAAAUUAUUUGUAAUAUUGAAUAUUAUAUUUUGAGUUUGUAAUGGCAAAUCAAGAAGAAGAAGCAAAGGAUGUAUCCAGAGUGUCGGGCUCCUCGUCAUCAUGGUCGAGGUUCCCAGUGUCCACUUUGAAAUUGGCGGUGGAAAUAUUUUAUGGCACUGAACAUUUUGGCAUGUGGAAAGGAGAGGUCUUGGACUCUAUUUUUCAGCAGGGUCUUGAUAUUGCUAUUGAAGGAGAGAAACCAAAAGAGGUAGAGGAGAAAGACUGUCCAAAACUGCAGAAGAAAGGGAAGGCUCCACAAGAUGCAAAUGUUGCAAAAUGCAAAAGUGAUGUGGAAUCAGAUAUCUCUUUAAUUGUCUCGCUUUCAGCAUCAUAUUCAGAUGAGUGGAUAUUGGAUUCAGGUUGUACCUAUCAUAUGUGUCCCAUUCGGGAAUGGUUCUUUGAAUUUCAAGAACGUGAUGGCAGGGUUGUUUACAUGGGUAAUGAUAAUCCAUGUAAGACAACUGGGAUAGGUUCAAUCAAGUUGCGGAAUCAUGAUGGAUCCACCAGAAUUUUGCGGGAUGUACGGUACGUGCCAAAGUUGAAGAAGAAUCUCAUCUCAUUGGGGGCUUUAGAAUCUAAAGGCCUAGUUGUGACGAUGCGAGAUGGAAUUCUUAAAGCAACUUCAGGAGCACUGGUGAUAUUGAAAGGCGUGAGGAAGAACAAUUUGUAUUACUAUCAAGGUACUACAGUGGUGGGGACAGUAGCGACAACAACUUCUAGCUCUAAGAAGGAUGCUGAGGCAACUAAGUUGUGGCAUAUGAGGUUGGGACAUGCUGGAGAGAAAUCCUUGCAAAUUCUUACCAAGGAGGGAUUGUUGAAAGGUACGAAGGCUUGCAAACUUGAAUUUUGUGAGCAUUGUGUUCUGGGAAAACAACGAAGAGUGAAGUUUGGCACUGCAAUUCACAAUACUAAGGGUAUUCUGGAUUAUGUGCAUUCAGAUGUGUGGGGACCUGCCAAGACUCCGUCAAUCGGAGGUAGGCAUUAUUUUGUCACUUUUGUGGAUGAUUUUUCCAGGAGAGUUUGGGUGUUUACUAUGAAGAACAAAAAUGAUGUGCUUGAAAUUUUCCUUAAGUGGAAAGCUCAAGUUGAAAACUAGACAGGAAGGAAGAUUAAGGUUCUCCGAACAGACAAUGGAGGAGAAUACAAGAGUGAUCCGUUCCUGAAUGUAUGCCAAGAUUGUGGCAUAGUUCGGCACUUCACUAUUAGAAAAACACCACAUCAGAAUGGGGUGUCAGAGCGUAUGAACAAGACACUUGUGGAGAAAGUUUGUUGUAUGCUGUCUAAUGCUAAGUUAGGCAGAGAGUUUGGGCUGAGGCUGUGACAUACGCUCAACAUCUCGUCAAUCGUUUGCCAUCAUCUGCUAUAGAUGGCAAAACCCCAUUAGAGGUAUGGUCUGGAAAACCUGCAACUAAUUAUGAUUCUUUGCAUGUUUUUGGUUCUAUUGCAUAUUAUCAUGUGAUUGAAUCAAAGUUGGAUCCACGGACAAAGAAGGCUCUUUUCAUGGGUUUUAGUCCUGGAGUGAGGGGAUACCGUUUGUGGUGUCUAGAGGCAAAGAAGACGAUUAUCAGCAGGGAUGUUAGCUUUGAUGAAUCUUCCAUGUUAAAGGUAAAUCCAGGAGGAGCUGAUAGUACUCCACAACAGGUGGAGUGUGCCCGGAAGCAGGUGGAGUUUGAGCCGACAGUGGUGAUCAAGGUUGUCAAACUCGCGAGUCUACGUAGACUCGUGGAAGCUCCGUAGACUCGACUCGCAGACUCGACUCGUAAGAGUCUACUUUUCUAUUAAAAAAAAUUAAUAAAAAAAAUUUAUAGUUUUUUAGAACAUUUUUACUUCUAUUAGAAGAUGCAGUUCUAUUGACCUCACUUGAAUUUGAUCCACACCCUCCCAGACCUUCCUUAAAAAAUAUAUUGCUCCUCCAAAUUUAACUUCUGCCCAAAAAAAAACUAAUGUGCAGCAAGCCCACUUCAUUCUGCAGCAAGCCCACUUCAUUCUGUAGCAGCCCAAUAAAAAAAAAUAGAACCCUAAUCCCUUCCCUACCCUAAUUUCACACCACCCAUCUCAAGCAGCAACCUGCGACCACCGCGACGCCACCACCUGCAACCCGCGACCACCGUGACGCCACCACCUGUAACCCGCGACCAUCGCACGCACCGCUCGAUCUACUGCCGCACUCCACAGAAGAACACGAAGAAGACGCAGUCCACAUGCAAACACAAACGACACCGUUUUGGGUUUAAAAAAAACCCAGUUGGACUCGCCAACUCGGACUAGAGUCGCGAGUUCACUGCGAUUUCACCGAGUUCACCCCAAAAACGAGUUUACUACCGAGUUAACUCGGUAAGGCAAAGUGGGCACGUAAACUCAGACGAGUCAACGAGUUGACUCGCGAGUUUGAUAACCAUGGUGGUGAUCCCAACACGAAAUACCACAAGUGACUCUCAUAUGGCAGAAGAAGAGUUGAUGAGGAAGAGGUUCCUACCCAAGAAUCUCAACAGCAAUCAGCGCCAAUUGCAGUUAGAAGACAAAGACGAGAUAUUCAGAAGCCUGCUCGUUUCAUGGAUAUGGUUGCCUAUGCACUUCCAGUUGUUGAUGACAUUCCAUCCACUUACCCAGAAGCCAUUCUGAGUUCAGAGAGUGGUAAUUGGGCAGGUGCGAUGGAAGAGGAGAUGCAGUCUUUAAAGAAGAACAAGACGUGGAAGCUGACACAAUUACCAAAAGGUAAGAAGGCAAUUGGGUGCAAAUGGGUAUUUGCAAAGAAAGAAGGAUUUCCUAAUAAAGAAGAUGUUCGCUACAAGGCAAGGUUGGUUGCUAAAGGCUUUGUUCAGAGGGAGGGAAUUGAUUAUAAUGAGGUAUUUUCUCCAGUUGUUAAACAUUCCUCUAUUCGAAUUUUGUUGGCCUUGGUAGCACAGUUGAAUUUGGAGCUUGCUCAACUUGAUGUAAAGACCGCAUUCCUACACGGUGAUUUGAAGGAGGAAAUCUAUAUGACUCAACCAGAAGGAUACAAGGUUGAUGGUAAAGAAGAUUGGGUUUGUAAACUUAGCAAAUCGUUGUACGGACUGAAACAAUCUUCGAGACAGUGGUACAAACGAUUUGAUAAGUUCAUGAAGGAUCAGAAGUACAAGAGAAGCAAAUAUGAUCACUGUGUGUAUUUGCGCAGACUUGAAGAUGGUUCCUACAUUUACUUACUCUUAUAUGUUGAUGAUAUGUUGAUUGCAGCAAAGAGCCAAGUUGAGAUUGACAGGUUAAAGGCUCAAUUGAGUAAAGAGUUCGAGAUGAAGGAUUUGGGGGAAGCCAAGAAGAUUCUCGGCAUGGAGAUAAACAGGGACAGGGAGAGGGGAAAACUUUGGCUGUUACAGAAGCAGUAUUUGCAGAAGGUACUACAACGUUUUGGUAUACACGAAGAUACAAAACCUGUAAGUACCCCACUUGCUCCUCAUUUGAAAUUGAGUAGCCGUUUAUCUCCGACGACUGAUGAAGAACGAGAAUACAUGGCGAAAGUCCCAUAUGCAAAUGCAGUUGGAAGCUUGAUGUAUGCAAUGGUGUGUACAAGACCAGAUAUUUCACAAGCUGUGAGUGUUGUUAACAGGUACAUGCAUAAUCCGGGCAAGGGACAUUGGCAAGAUGUGAGAUGGAUUCUACGGUACCUCCAAAAUACCUUAGAUGUUGGAUUGACAUUUGAGCAAGAUGAAUCACUUGGUCAAUGCAUAGUUGGAUAUUGUGAUUCUGAUUAUGCAGGUGAUUUGGAUAAUCGACCUUCUACAACUGGCUAUUUGUUCACUUUAGCAAAAGCGCCAGUUAGUUGGAAGUCUACCUUGCAGUCUACGGUGGCUUUGUCUACGACAGAGGCAGAGUAUAUGGCGAUUACAGAGGCUGUGAAGGAAGCAAUUUGGCUUUAUGGGUUGCUUAAAGACUUGGGAGUUGGUCAGAAACAACUUGAGUUAUAUUCUGACAGUCAGAGUGCUAUUCAUUUAGCAAAGAAUCAAGUCUUUCAUGCACGGACGAAGCACAUUGAUGUUCGUUAUCACUUUGUGCAUGAGAUUCUCGAAGAAGAGAAGAUUGUUCUCCAGAAGAUUCACACUACGGAGAAUCCUGCAGAUAUGCUCACCAAAGUGGUUACAAGGACCAAGUUUGAACACUGUUUAGACUUGGUUAAUAUCUUGCACAUUUGAAGUUGGCGCCCGGAGGCACAAAUUUGAAGCACUGCAAAGUUUGUUUUUGUUAUGUUUUGAGAAGAUUUGUUUUAGGUGGGACUUGAAAUUAAGCCAAGGUGGAGAUUUGUUGAUUUUGGCUUAAUCCCAAGUCCCACAUUGGUGGAUUCAUUGUUUGGGAAGGAGGUUUGAGGGUUAUAAAUUAAACUCUCCUCCUUCACUGUUAUAUAUCCCAAUUUGUAAUAUCUUCUCCCAUAAUAAUAAAAGCGGGCUAUUUCAGCUGUGCUCGGAGAUUAGGCUAAACAGGCCGAACUCUGUUAACAAUUUUCCAGUGUGUUUUUUCCUCUUUAU